CGGGAUGUAGCGCAGUUGGUAGCGCGCUUCGUUCGGGACGAAGAGGUCGAGAGUUCAAAUCUCUCCAUCCCGA
rnacentral:tRNA from 1 species